rnacentral:rRNA from 1 species
GCGCAGCAGUCGCGAAAACUCUCCAAUGCGCGAAAGCGUGAGAGGGGGAUGCCGAGUGCUCAUGCAAUGCAUGGGCUUUUGCCAAAAGUAAAAAUUUUGGCGAAUAAGUGGUGGGUAAGACGGGUGCCAGCCGCCGCGGUAAUACCCGCGCCACGAGUGGGAGCCACUAUUAUUGGGCCUAAAGCGUCCGUAGCCGGUUUUGUAAGUUUCUGGGUAAAUCCCACAGCUUAACUGCGGGAAUUCCAGAAAUACUGCAGAGCUAGGGGCCGGGAGACGCAGAAGGUACUCCUGGGGUAGGGGUGAAAUCCUAUAAUCCUAGGGGGACCACCAGUGGCGAAGGCGUUCUGCGAGAACGGGCUCGACGGUGAGGGACGAAAGCCAGGGGCGCAAACGGGAUUAGAUACCCCGGUAGUCC